rnacentral:lncRNA from 1 species
CAGAUCUGAGCUAAAAAUAUUGCGGGAAACGUGAUAAAUGCAACUUUUAAAAAUAGCUUAUUUAUAGUCGGCAAGGUAUACAAACACAGACAAACAUAAGCUCUAAUGAGCUUUUAAACCGACAUAUGAGACAUUUUUAACAAUACAACAUUUUUUGGAAACAAUAAGUAGAUGCAACGUACUCUGUCUACUGGUAUAAAGGUGAAAAUCAAAUAUAUUUUAUUGGCUAACCAAUUGGCUAACACAUCAGAUAACCAAACAGGAAAGUGACUAGAAUUUUACAGUAAAUAAGGCAAAAUCAAAUAUGAUUAACAGUAAUAAUAUUUCUAAUUUCAUGAUAAUUAUUUUUCAAUUUCUAUAUAAUAUAUAUAUACAUAAUGUAUAAAUAUGUAAGUAAUAUUAUUCAAUUUUAUUUUUUUUCACUUUUGGAAAUUCUAAUUUCAUGAUAAUUUUUAAUUUCUAUAUCGUGACACCAAAUCGCCUGCACUGUAGUCGUCCUGCUAGACGGUUGUGUGGUCUAGCGGGACGGCUACAGUGCAGGCAUAUAAUGAAGCCCAGGAGGUCAUGUGGUCUAGCAGGACGGCUACAGUGCAGGCGAUUUGGUGUCACGAUAUCUCAGUAGCAUGGAUUCGAAUCCUGGCGAGGGAAGAACAAAAAAUUUGCGAAAGCAAAUUUACAGAUCUAACAUUGUUGGGUUGAUGUUUAGACGAGUUGUAUAAUCAUAAUGUCCACAGCCAUGGUAAUCACCAUGCACUGCUGGUUGAUCCGAUGGAUAAAUCUGUUGUGAGGUUGUCACUGGGCUCAGGACGGUACAUAUAUAUAUUAUAUAUAUAUAUAAUAUAUUAAAGUUAACGAUUUUAGACACCUUUAUACUAAUUAAUUUAGUAACUGCAUCAGUUUAUUUAGCAAACUGAUCCAGCACCUUUAGAUACGAUUUGGAUAUGUUGAUUGUUGCUGAUUUUUAGACACUAUAGUAUAUAUAUAAUAUAGUAUAUAUAUAUUAUAUAUAUAUAUAUAAUUAUAUAUUAUUAUAUAAUAAUGAUAUAUGUAGUAAUAUUAUUCAAUUUUAAAUAUAUGUUAAUUUUUUGGUAUUUAAGAUAAAAACAAUAUACAUAUAUAAGCAUGUAUAUAUUUGUAAGUGUAAAGGAGGAUUCCUAUAGUGAGAUUCUACUUGAAGCACUCAGUAGUGGUGCUGCAGGCUAUUGGUUUGGGUAAUUUGUUCCAGUCUUUUAAAGUUUGGCAGACAAAUGAAAAAUUGAAACUGUCUUUGCUGCAUCAAUUUUGUAGGUAUGUUUGUUCAUGGCUAGACCUGGUGUUUGGUUUGCUUUUAAUAAGUACCUCAGUAUAUGGUAUGACAAUUUUGUAGUUUGUAAUUCUAUGGAACAUGUUUAAUCAGCUUUUGAGUCUUCUUUCUUGUAAUGAUUGCCAGUGAAGUGGAUUAAGCAUGUUUGUUACACUUUCAGUAUAUUGGUAUUUAGAGCAUACAUAUCUUGCUGCACGUCUUUGGACUUUUUCUAUGGAGUUAAUGUUCUCUGUUGUGUAAGGGUCUCAGACAGUGCAGCAUCUAGUUUCGGCCUCAUAAGGACUUGGUAUGCUCGGUCUUUGAUGGUUACUCAGUUUAUUUUUAGGUUUCUUCUAAUAAAUCAUUUAAAUGCAAGGGUCUUAUUUGCGUCUGGAGAGACUAAAACUGUAAAAUGAUAUGAAUCUUGUAGAAACAACUAAAAUAACAAAAAUAAACUAAACCACCCUGAUGUCUUUUCAUUAGAGGUCCCUGUACUUUGGAGAGGGAUUAUUGACUAUUGUAUUGAUUGAGGACAUAGUCAUAGACAUUGAUUGAACAAGUAUUUCAACAAAUAAUACAUUACAAGACGUCUAUUGAAAAGAUUGAUAUAAUUGAAAAUUGAUAAUCAGCCUUAAACUUGUUACCAUUUAUUUUAAACCUUGGAUCAUUAUGAUAGAUAUGAAUUAUUAUGUUUGAUUACCACUAACAAUGACUAAUCAACUCAACUCAAUAAAAAAUUGCAAAUAUAAAUCUUGAGCAUUACGUUAGAUACAAUUGAUUGCAAUACAUGUACAUGUAGAUAAAUGAGUAUCAACUAUGUUAACAAUUGCAAUCACUAGAUUUUAACAAUAGUCAUGAGUAUCUAUUGUGAGUCUUAAAUACAAACAGAAGGUGGUAGUUGGUGAAUUGAUCCAGCUUAUUGAAUAGCUUUAAAGUUGAUGCAAAUAUUGUAACACGGUUGAGUAGGAAUUGAUACUACAAUGUAUCAAAUACCACGCGUGAGAAUUUAACAUGGUGACAGUUGAUAUUCCUUAGCAUAAUUGUGACAAUUGAAUAUACGAUAUGAUCAUGAGUCUUAAACACAAAGAAGAAAUUCAAAUGGAAAGUCUGUAAUCAAUGGCAAAUCAAAAUCUCAAACACAUCAAACGAAAUGGAUUACAAGUGUCAUAUUCCUGACGUUCUUUAUGCAGAAAAAUGGUGAUUAAAAUUGGGUUAUGAGCUAGCUUAACGUAUCACGUUUGUCAUAAGACUUGUGAUUUUGCGCAACAGUUUGGUGUUCAAACCUUCAGUACUAACCAACUUUUUGAGAACUUUACCUAAGGUGUCAGUAAAUAUAGAAUAUCGCAGUCAAUCAGACUAUAAAUGCAAGGCAUGAUGAUAUCAUGUAUAUAUAUUUUAGGUUUACUCCAGAAUUUAUAAAAGAUAUAUGAUGG